UGGAUUAGGCAUGCAAGUCGAACGGGACUGAGGCCGCAAGGUUUCAGUUCAGUGGCGAAAGGGCGAGUAAUACAUCGAUCAUCUGCCCCAGGGCCCGGAAUAACACCUGGAAACGGGUGCUAAUGCCGGAUGGUCCAGUAAUGGUAAACGGCGGGGACCGCAAGGCCUGCCGCCCAGGGAGGGGUCGAUGGCCUAUCAGCUAGUUGGUGAGGUAACGGCUCACCAAGGCGAAGACGGGUAGCCGGACUGAGAGGUUGGUCGGCCGCACUGGGACUGGGACACUGCCCAGACUCCUACGGGAGGCUGCAGUCGAGGAUCUUCCGCAAUGGGGGCAACCCUGACGGAGCGACGCCGCGUGCAGGAUGAAGGCCUUCGGGUCGUAAACUGC
rnacentral:rRNA from 1 species